AGUUUAAUGCUUUGUAUUAAGCUAUUAUGUGGGGUUAGCUAGCCCCUAUUUUUGUAUUAAACAC
rnacentral:tRNA from 1 species